UGGGGAAUCUUCCGCAAUGGACGAAAGUCUGACGGAGCAACGCCGCGUGAGUGAAGAAGGUUUUCGGAUCGUAAAGCUCUUUCGUCAGGGACGAACGUAUUUCUUGUAAAUAAUGAGAGAUAGUGACGGUACCUGAAUAAGAAGCCACGGCUAACUACGUGCCAGCAGCCGCGGUAAUACGUAGGUGGCAAGCGUUGUCCGGAAUUAUUGGGCGUAAAGCGCGCGCAGGCGGGAUAUCAAGUCUGUCUUAAAAGUGCGAGGCUCAACCUCGUGAGGGGACAGAAACUGGUAUUCUUGAGUGUCGGAGAGGAAAGUGGAAUUCCAAGUGUAGCGGUGAAAUGCGUAGAGAUUUGGAAGAACACCAGUGGCGAAGGCGACUUUCUGGACGAUGUCUGACGCUGAGGCGCGAAAGCUAGGGGAGCGAACGG
rnacentral:rRNA from 1 species